ACCCCGUUCAUAGAAGCAUUAAUCUUCUCCUUUUUA
rnacentral:tRNA from 1 species